UACGAAGGGGACUAGCGUUGUUCGGAAUCACUGGGCGUAAAGCGCACGUAGGCGGAUUUGUAAGUCAGGGGUGAAAUCCCGGGGCUCAACCUCGGAACUGCCUUUGAUACUGCGAAUCUUGAGUCCGAUAGAGGUGGGUGGAAUUCCUAGUGUAGAGGUGAAAAUUCGUAGAUAUUAGGAAGAACACCAGUGGCGAAGGCGGCCCACUGGAUCGGUACGUAGACGCU
rnacentral:rRNA from 1 species